UACAGAGGUCUCAAGCGUUUGUUCGGAUUCAUUGGGCGUAAAGGGUGCGUAGGCGGCGCGGUAAGUCGGGUGUGAAAUCUCGGAGCUUAACUCCGAAACUGCAUUCGAUACUGCCGUGCUUGAGGACUGGAGAGGAGACUGGAAUUUACGGUGUAGCGGUGAAAUGCGUAGAUAUCGUAAGGAAGACCAGUGGCGAAGGCGGGUCUCUGGACAGUUCC
rnacentral:rRNA from 1 species